UUUCCAACAGACCUCAUAACCUCCGAGGAUGCCUGCCAUAGAUGUAGGCGAAACGUCAAGAGAGAAUGCUCCUGGAGCGUGGCCAUACAGCCCGGAACACUCACAGCAACCCAGUGGCUCAAUGCUGGGGGAUCUCCUUCUUUGCCCGAGAAGGGAGAUGCUUCCCCUUGUUACAAACCCGAGGACCCCAUUGCCUUGAAGCGGGGAGUCAGGCAGGCAGGAGGUGGGGCGAGGCCAGACAAAGCGGCGGCCCAACCUCUCUCUCUCUCUCGCUCUGUCUCUCUCUCCUUCGCCUUCGAGGAGGAGGCUGAGCCGGCCUUUGCUGCGUUGCGGCGCCGCUGCGUUGCCUGCUGGGCGCAUCUCCUCCUCGGAGGCGGGGAAGCCGGUCCCUCCCCUCAGCCUUGCCUUGCCUUGCCUUGCCUUGCAUUGGAAGGAGCCUCUCUCCCAGGACCGCUUUCCAAGAAAGAUCAAGGUGGAGAAAAGCUGUAUGAUGAAUCUAUAAGACAUGGAAGAUCUCUUUGAAGCUGAUUGAUGGCUCCUAUACUGAAUGAGAAGAGAAAGAUGAAGAAUCGCUUUCUAAAAUGUUCUGACAAAAUGUACAGUAUUGCAGUUAAUUUAUCCCACUGAAAUAAUUUCAGAACUCAAUUUUUGAAUGACACCAUUUGAUUCUGUCAAAAAUAAUCAGAAUAUAUAAUCACCAAAAGGACCACAUCCCCACACACUGUACACUGAAGAAAGAAUACAGAAAGAUGCCAUCCAUCACAAGAACUUCAGGUAGCCUGAUCAUAAUCAUAAACUAACUUUUCAUUAUCCUUUGGGCUGUCAGCAAGUGAGUAAACAAAUGAAAAAUGAUCUAAGAUGUGUGAAAUACCAUUACAUUACAUUGCACAUUAUAUGGGAUUUGUAGUUCUUGUGGUUCUGGGAUAUCGUACCUUUGAAGGCUUAACUUAAGAGUAGGAAUAUUUAAAGUCUAAGGGCCUCAAUUAAUCCACCACUGUGGUCAAGCUCAGUCCACAAACUGCCAUUGAGUCGCAUCUCUUUCAUGUGCACAUUGGCUGCUAUGAUAAUAGUUUGCUAUAGAGACUGGUGAGUAAGGCACCACAUCAGCACUCUUGCAUAGAAAGUGAGCUCAUGAAAGCUUCCCCUUAAAUGCAGUAUCAGGCCAGGUUCUCUGACUGCAACUCAAUGUACUCUCCUUCUUUAGGAGUUAGCCUCUGUGGACUCAGGAUUGCCUUAGAAUAAGGGUCUGGCAUAAGCUUACUAGUGUCUACAAAUGUCUUCAGAAACAUGAUAGGUUUAAAUAGGCAAAGACAGGUUCUGUAGGUUUGUUCUUAAGGUGAAUUUGUAAGUCAAAACAAGUACAUUUUAAGUGUAACUCCAGUCAAAUAUUUGGCUAUACACACACACACACACACACGCACACUGCAUAGCUGGAGCUACACUUUAAACUAUACCUGUUCCGACUUACAUAUAUCCAGCCAAUAUUUUAUUUAUUUAUUUAUUUAUAUAUAUAUAUAUACACACACACACACACACACACACACACACACACACAUGCUUUGGAUAGCAUAGGGAAGGAUUUACACCCCUGAGGUGUUUGUUUUGCUGUCUGUGUCCUUGUUCAGAAGAUUUCCCCUCACUUUCUCUCCCUAUGAGAAUUGGAUUUAGACAAAAUUAGCUUGUUGUGGAAACAAGAAUUGGUGACAGAGUUUCAGUGGAGCCCCCUUUCCCCUAUGGUAAUUCUCCCAGGAGUGGAUUUCCCUUCCCAGGUGUAGAUUUUUCUCACUUCCUGUUGUCUCAGCCUUGUUUGAAUUGUGUUGUCAAAGGCUUUCAUGGCCGGAAUCACUGAGUUGCUGUGAGUUUUCCGGGUUGUAUGGCCAUGUUCCAGAAGCAUUCUCUCCUGACGUUUGUUCCGCAUCUAUGGCAGGCAUCCUCAGAGGUAAUGAGGUCUGUUGGAAACUAGGCAAGUGGGGUUUAUAUAUCUAUGGAAUGUCCAGGAUGGGAGAAAAAACUCUUGUCUGCUUGAAGCAAGUGUCAGUGUUACUGGUCAGCUUGAUUAGCAUUUAAUAGCCUUGCAGCUUCAAGGCUUGGCUACUUCUUGCCUGGGGGAAUCUUUUGUUGGGAUGUGUUAGCUGGCCCUGAUUGUUUAAUGUCUGGAAUUCCCCUGUUUUCAGAAUGCUUUUUAUUUACUGUCCUGAUUAUAGAGUUUUUUUAAAAUACUGAUAGCCAGAUUGUGUUCAUUUUCAUGGUUUUCUCCUUUCUAUUGAAAUUGUCCACAUGCUUGUGGGUUUCAGUGGCUUCUCUGUGUAGUCUGACAUGAUGGUUGUUAGAGUGGUCCAGCAUUUCUGUGUUUUCAAAUAAUAUGCUGUGUUGGUUCAUCAAGAGCUCUGCUAUGGCUGACCUCUGGUUGAAUUAGUUUGCUGUGCCUUUCAUGUUCCUUGCUUCGUGUUUGGGCAUUGCUGCGUUUGGUGGUCCCUAUGUAGACUUACUUGUCCACAGCUGUAUGGUAUAUGGUAGACUCCUGCAGAGGUGAGAGGAUCCUUUUGCUGAACGUAGCAUUUGCUGGAUUUCUAAGAAGUCAGCCAUAGCAGAGCACCUGAUGAAUCAAGUAAUUAUUUGAGAACACAGAAAUGCUGGACCAGUUGAACAACCUCCAUGUCAGACUAGACUGAUUCCUCCCAGGGAAACCUGUAUGUAUAACUACCAUGUUUUUAAUAAUGAGUUCUGUGCUUCAUAAGCUAAACAUUAUUUUCCCCUUGAGUUCUUAUGACUUAAUGCAAGACUCAACACAACACAGCAGUUCAUUUCCAAACUCUUCUGCUUUUUACUGGAAUAAGAGGGGACAUUUCUAUUCACUAAUCAAGACUUACUCUCACCAGUAUUAAAAACUCUAAAAUCAAGGCAGUAAAUAAAUAACGAGCAACACUCAGAAGACGGGAAUUCCAGACAAGAAACAAUGAGGGCCAGUUAAUAACUCCCAACAAAGGAUUUCCCCAGGCAGGAAGCAAACAGGCUUUGAAGCUGCAGGGCCAUUGGAUGCUAAUCAAGCUGGCCAAUUGCAACAUUCACACUUGCCUCGGACAGACAAAAGUCUUUUCUCCCACCCUGGACAUUCCACUGAUAAACCUCACUUGCCUAGUUUCCAACAGACCUCUGAGGAUGCCUG
rnacentral:lncRNA from 1 species